AACGAACGCUGGCGGCAGGCUUAACACAUGCAAGUCGAACGCGUGCAGCGAAUGCACGAGUGGCGCACGGGUGAGUAACGCGUGGAUAUCUGCCUUCGUGGUUCGGAAUAACCCCGGGAAACUGGGGCUAAUACCGAAUGGUUCCUACGGGAUAAAGAUUUAUCGCCAGAAGAUGAGUCCGCGUCCGAUUAGCUAGUUGGUGAGGUAACGGCUCACCAAGGCGACGAUCGGUAGCGGUCUGAGAGGACGAUCAGCCACACUGGGACUGAGACACGGCCCAGACUCCUACGGGAGGCAGCAGUGGGGAAUAUUGGACAAUGGGCGCAAGCCUGAUCCAGCGAUGCCGCGUGUGUGAAGAAGGCC
rnacentral:rRNA from 1 species